rnacentral:lncRNA from 1 species
AUUGGGCUGGGACUGGGCUGCGUGUUUGCUCUUGCUAGUCGCGCGCCGCCGCGCUAACAUGUUCCUUCGCUCUUGUUCGUGACACUCCCCUGCUGCCGCCCUGUGCUCUGUUGUUUUCUUAUUCGCUCGUAGGUGAGAAUUUCAUCGAGGAUUGGGCGGGAGCUUGGACUUAGCGGCCAGGAGUAGCGACGCGGAGCUGGGAAUUGUAGGAGUGCCUGGGCCUCACGGUACCGUGAGCACAUGCAUGGGUUUGCACCCUUGAGAGCGUGUGGACACUAAUCCCCCCUCGAGGUUAGAGUAGCGGGGGUUGCGCGAUUUCCGGUUGGUAAGACCGGCGGCUCAACGCAGCAGGUAUGCGAGGUAACUUCAGGUAACAUCCGUAAACCGUCGCUUUGCUGCAUCGCAUACACUGUCUUUGCGCAACGUUUUCCUUGUGCUCUUUAACACAAGUGCGCGAGCCGGUUCAUGUCCCGCGGGCGUGCCGGGGCCUCUAGGGCUCGUGUUUUAGCGACUUGAUUUGUGAGUGUAUGGACAAUUUCUGGUGGUGAAAUUGCCCUAUGCUCACAAAUCUGUCGAAGGGUAAUUUUCGGCGUCCUACUCAGUGCUGUGCUGCGUGCCGUCGCGUCUGGACGAUGCUACCGAAAAUUGCUAUCUUGUCGGAGUUUUGGGCACUAGGCCUGGAGCCCGUUCCGCGGGGUCGGGGACCGGGCUGGGGGCCUUGUGGCGCCUCGGGCGCGCCGUGUUCCUCCUGCUUGUCGCGUUCCUCUGAUUUGCGCCAUAACCUGUACUGACUUUGGGCCCGCCCUCCCCGUGCCGCUGCCCCGCGGCAUCGACGUCCCCAUAAGCUGUACGUGUACUUGGACCUGGUGCUACAUGGCCGCAUGAGGGGAGUACCUAGCGUGUGCCGCCUCCGUCACACCAUGGAGUGGGGAGCGGGGGUUUUUCCCCCGCCAGCCCAUGGUGCUGACACCCCAUUUGCAUUUGCCGUCAUGCAUGCGCCCAUGCCGUCCCCCGCCUGUUUACUUGCUCGUGGUCGCCCACCCUCCGUCUCUUUCCUAAAUCGCGCAACCCCUAGUAUAGUUAAUUGGGCUGGGACUGGGCUGCGUGUUUGCUCUUGCUAGUCGCGCGCCGCCGCGCUAACAUGUUCCUUCGCUCUUGUUCGUGACACUCCCCUGCUGCCGCCCUGUGCUCUGUUGUUUUCUUAUUCGCUCGUAGGUGAGAAUUUCAUCGAGGAUUGGGCGGGAGCUUGGACUUAGCGGCCAGGAGUAGCGACGCGGAGCUGGGAAUUGUAGGAGUGCCUGGGCCUCACGGUACCGUGAGCACAUGCAUGGGUUUGCACCCUUGAGAGCGUGUGGACACUAAUCCCCCCUCGAGGUUAGAGUAGCGGGGGUUGCGCGAUUUCCGGUUGGUAAGACCGGCGGCUCACCGCAGCAG